GGACUUUUAGCUCUGUUGGUUAGAGCGGAAGGUUCGUAAUUGUUCGGUCGUAGGUUCCGCUCCUACACGGUCCA
rnacentral:tRNA from 1 species